ACAGGAGACGUGAAGAGUGCACGGUGGAUGCCUAGGCUUGUGACAGCGAUGAAGGACGCGACUAAUCAGCGAAAGCUCCGGGGAGGCGAUUUGUAGCCCUCGAUCCGGAGGUGUCCGAAUGGGGAAACCCAUCUGCGUAUGCAGAUACCUAUUGAGUAAUGUCUUUAGGAGCGAACCUCGGGAAGUGAAACAUCUCAGUACCGAGAGGAAAAGAAAACAAGAGCGAGUCGUGUUCUCUGGAAGCGGUAGUUCGCUUUUAGGGAACACGUCUCUCGCGAUUCCGUAAGUAGCGGCGAGCGAAACCGGAAGAGCCCAAACCUACAGAUUCGUCUGUGGGGGUUGUAAGAGAAUGCGCCCGCAAGGGAGAGAGUUACCAAUUGUCGUCAUAGUAGAAACUGCUGGGAAGCAGUGCCAUAGAGGGUAAUGGCCCCGUAUACGAAAUGACUGACAACUCUCGCAUUUUUCUUGAGUAGCUCGAGACACGAAUAGCUCGAGUGAAUCUGCCGGAACUAACCGGUAAGGCUAAAUAUGUCACAGGACCGAUAGUGAACUAGUACCGCGAGGGAAAGGUGAAAAGCACCCCGAGAGGGGAGUGAAAUAGUACUGAAACCGUGUACUUACAAAGGGUGGGAGCGGGUCGUCGCAAGACGGCACCGUGACCGCGUGCCUAUUGAAGAAUGAGCCGGCGAGUGUGUGUAUGUCGCGUAGCUAAAUCCUUUACCGGAUCGAGCUGUAGGGAAACCGAGCGUGAAUAGCGCGUCAGUGGCAUACAUACGACCCGAAGCCAGAUGAGCUUGCCAUGUGCAGGGUGAAGCGGAGCGAAAGCUGCGUGGAGGCCCGAACCCGUUAGUUGUACAACACUUUGGGAUGACGUGUGGCAAGGAGUGAAAAGCUAAUCGAAUCUGGUAAUAGCUGGUUCUCUCCGAAACAGCUUUUGGGCUGGCGUUGUGCGUUCCUUCCGGGGGUAGAGCACUGGAAGGGUUCAACAGGGAGAAAUCUCGUGAACCCUAUCAACCUCCGAAUACCGGAAGCCAGAGCACAGCAGUUAGAACGUGGGGGCGAAGCUCCACGGAUCGAAAGGGGAAGAGCCCUGAUCGCAAGUUAAGGCCCCAAAAUCGACGCUCAGUAUAUCCAGAAGGAAGUGAGGAUUCAUAAACAGUGAGGAUGUUGGCUUAGAAGCAGCCACCAUUUAAAGAAAGCGUAACAGCUCACUCAUCGAGAGUCCUCGCGCCGAAGAUGAUCGGGAUUAAGCGUCGUGCCGAAACUGCGGGUGUGCAUCGUAUUCGUACGAUGUACGCGGUAGGAGAGCGUUCGCAUCGCGAUGAAGGAUAAGGGGUGACCCAUUCUGGAGCGUUGCGAAGUGAGGAUGCCGGUACAAGUAACCACAAUGCGGGUGAGAACCCCGCACGUCAAAAGAUCAAGGUUUCCUCGGCCAUGGUAAUCAUCCGAGGGUUAGUCGGGCCUAAGGGGAUGGCGAAAGCCGCACCCGAUGGACACACGGUCAAUAUUCCGUGACCAUUCCGCAUGCGAAGAAGUGACGGACUGCUGUACUCACUGCCCAUUAUUGGAUUUGGGUCAGUGGUGCGAGGAGGCGUUCCUGGAAAAUCCGGAACGCAUUAACUCCGAGCAUUGCUGCAAUGCUCUCCCACGGGGGAGCAAAGAGUGAGGAGCGCGGUUCCAAGAAAACCUUCUACGCUUCAGUGCGAGAAUGCCCGUACCGCAAACCGACACCGGUGAUCAAGGCGAGUAGCCUACGACGAACGAGUGAGAGAUCCUCAAGGAACUCGGCAAAAAAGCGGCCGUAAGUUAGCGAUAAGGCCUGCCCCGCGCAAGCGGGGCCGCAGUGAAAGUUUCCCUGGCAACUGUUUACCAAAAACACAGCUCCCUGCGAACUCGUAAGAGGAGGUAUAGGGGGUGACGCCUGACCAAUGCCGGAAGGUCAAGCACGGUUGGUGGCAUACUUCGGUAUUCUGCUGGACUGUGUAAGCCCCGGUGAAUGUCGGCGAUAACUAUAAUCGUCCUAAGGUAGCGCAAUUCCUUGUCGGGUAAAUUCCGACGUGCACGAAUGGCGUAAUGACUGGGGAACUGUCUCGAGGAUUCGCUCGGUGAAAAUGCACUUCCGGUGAAGAUGCCGGAUACCUGUAGUUAGACGAAAAGACCCUAGAAGCUUUACUGC
rnacentral:rRNA from 1 species